GUCUAUGGUCAUACCACACUGAAUGUGCCCAAUCUCUUCUGAUCUCAGAAGGUGAGCAGGGUUAGGUCUGGUUAGUACUUGGAUGGGAGAUCUGUAUUUAUUUUAUUAGAAAUUUAAACC
rnacentral:rRNA from 1 species